UUUAAUUUUUUUUUCUAUUUCUUCCAGUUUUGUCUUGAUUUUUUUCCCUUUUUUGUGUAACAUAAGCGCGCACUGAGAAUCAACAUUUUGAGAAGAAAGAGAGAGAGGCAGAGAGAGAAGAUGGGACGAAUUUUGUUUGGCCAAACAAUAUCUUUCUGGUUGUUUUUUUCCAAAAAUUUGGCAAGCUCGAAGAAA
rnacentral:ribozyme from 13 species